rnacentral:rRNA from 1 species
CGUGCUUAACACAUGCAAGUCGAACGGAAAGGCCCUGCUUUUGUGGGGUGCUCGAGUGGCGAACGGGUGAGUAACACGUGAGUAACCUGCCCUUGACUUUGGGAUAACUUCAGGAAACUGGGGCUAAUACCGGAUAGGAGCUCCUGCUGCAUGGUGGGGGUUGGAAAGUUUCGGCGGUUGGGGAUGGACUCGCGGCUUAUCAGCUUGUUGGUGGGGUAGUGGCUUACCAAGGCUUUGACGGGUAGCCGGCCUGAGAGGGUGACCGGCCACAUUGGGACUGAGAUACGGCCCAGACUCCUACGGGAGGCAGCAGUGGGGAAUAUUGCACAAUGGGCGGAAGCCUGAUGCAGCAACGCCGCGUGCGGGAUGACGGCCUUCGGGUUGUAAACCGCUUUCGCCUGUGACGAAGCGUGAGUGACGGUAAUGGGUAAAGAAGCACCGGCUAACUACGUGCCAGCAGCCGCGGUGAUACGUAGGGUGCGAGCGUUGUCCGGAUUUAUUGGGCGUAAAGGGCUCGUAGGUGGUUGAUCGCGUCGGAAGUGUAAUCUUGGGGCUUAACCCUGAGCGUGCUUUCGAUACGGGUUGACUUGAGGAAGGUAGGGGAGAAUGGAAUUCCUGGUGGAGCGGUGGAAUGCGCAGAUAUCAGGAGGAACACCAGUGGCGAAGGCGGUUCUCUGGGCCUUUCCUGACGCUGAGGAGCGAAAGCGUGGGGAGCGAACAGGCUUAGAUACCCUGGUAGUCCACGCUGUAAACGGUGGGUACUAGGUGUGGGGUCCAUUCCACGGGUUCCGUGCCGUAGCUAACGCUUUAAGUACCCCGCCUGGGGAGUACGGCCGCAAGGCUAAAACUCAAAGGAAUUGACGGGGCCCCGCACAAGCGGCGGAGCAUGCGGAUUAAUUCGAUGCAACGCGUAGAACCUUACCUGGGUUUGACAUGGAUCGGGAGUGCUCAGAGAUGGGUGUGCCUCUUUUGGGGUCGGUUCACAGGUGGUGCAUGGCUGUCGUCAGCUCGUGUCGUGAGAUGUUGGGUUAAGUCCCGCAACGAGCGCAACCCUUGUUCACUGUUGCCAGCACGUUAUGGUGGGGACUCAGUGGAGACCGCCGGGGUCAACUCGGAGGAAGGUGGGGAUGACGUCAAGUCAUCAUGCCCCUUAUGUCCAGGGCUUCAUGCAUGCUACAAUGGCUGGUACAGAGAGUGGCGAGCCUGUGAGGGUGAGCGAAUCUCGGAAAGCCGGUCUCAGUUCGGAUUGGGGCCUGCAACUCGACCUCAUGAAGUCGGAGUCGCUAGUAAUCGCAGAUCAGCAACGCUGCGGUGAAUACGUUCCCGGGGCUUGUACACACCGCCCGUCAAGUCAUGAAAGUUGGUAACACCCGAAGCCGGUGGCCUAACCGUUGUGGGGGAGCCGUCGAAGGUGGGACUGGUGAUUAGGACUAAGUCAUAACA